GAAAGAAUAUCGGAGACGGAUGGGCAUGCGGCGCAUUAGCUAGUUGGCGGGGUAACGGCCCACCAAGGCGACGAUGCGUAGGGGUUCUGAGAGGAAGGUCCCCCACACUGGUACUGAGACACAGACCAGACUCCUACGGGAGGCAGCAGUGAGGAAUAUUGGUCAAUGGGCGAGAGCCUGAACCAGCCAAGUCGCGUGAGGGAGUACUGCCCUAUGGGUUGUAAACCUCUUUUGUCGGGGAGCAAAAGCCGGACGUGUCCGUCUGUGAGAGUACCCGAAGAAAAAGCAUCGGCUAACUCCGUGCCAGCAGCCGCGGUAAUACGGAGGAUGCGAGCGUUAUCCGGAUUUAUUGGGUUUAAAGGGUGCGCAGGCGGAUUUUUAAGUCAGCGGUCAAAUCGUGGGGCUCAACCCCAUCCAGCCGUUGAAACUGGGGAUCUAGAGUGUGCGAGAGGUAUGCGGAAUGCGUGGUGUAGCGGUGAAAUGCAUAGAUAUCACGCAGAACCCCGAUUGCGAAGGCAGCAUACCGGUGCACAACUGACGCUCAGGCACGAAAGCGUGGGUAUCGAACAGGAUUAGAUACCCUGGUAGUCCACGCAGUAAACGAUGAAUGCUACCUGUUUGGCCAGAUUGAAGGCUGA
rnacentral:rRNA from 1 species